GAGAAGGGUAAUCCUGCACAACCGGAGUAGCUGCACUCUCAGGACCGCAUUUUUAGGACCGCAUCUUUAGGACCCUAGUUUUUUGUGACAGCGUCAACUGUCGGAUUGGAUCAUGGAUGCGCUAAUGGACGACAUGGAUGACAAGGCAAGUGCCGUCCUACAUGCUCUGGGUGUCUUGAGGAGCUGGUCGUUGGAUGAUUUUUUUUUUUCAGGUCUUUUUUUCUGGUAAAGAUUAUCCUUACAGUGAAGUAAAAUAAUUUAACAGACAGAUUGACAAACAACUGACGAAAGAAGAGAGACCAUUCAAUAGUCCCUUUAUUUAUCAGGGGUUGCCACAGCAGAAUGAACCACCAACUUAUGCAGCAUAUGUUUUACACCGUGGAUACCCUUCCAGCCGCAACCCAGUACUGGGAAAUACCCAUUUACACUCAUACACUUGAACAUGGGGAGAACAUUCAAACUCCACACAGAAAUGACCACUGGCCAAGCCGGGGCUUGAACCAGCAACCUUCUUGCUGUGAGGCGACGGUGCUAACCACUGUGCUGCCCCAUGUGCUCUAUGCGGAGGCUUCUAGAGAUCGUGACCUGUGAAGAGAUGAUGCCACCAUAGAGGACUUCUAGAUGUAUCCAUAAUCCUGAAACAGACCGUAUCAUGAGCAGAUGCAGUGGUGGUCAUGGAGAAGUGGAGAGCAUGAGACUGAUUAACGAAAGAUCCCAGUGACAGAUGAGUGCCCGCAUUGAUCCUGUGGUCCAGCCUGAAAACCCGCUGGUAACCUACUCACACCUGCAGCUUCUCCACAAUGGACGCCCAGUGUUCUUCAGCCUCCAGCGCCUAGACUGCGGCUCUGCACGUGAAGUGUGGCCAAAAGAGAAAUGGU
ensembl:processed_transcript